rnacentral:rRNA from 1 species
UACGGAGGGUGCAAGCGUUGUCCGGAUUUAUUGGGUUUAAAGGGUGCGUAGGCGGCUGAUUAAGUCUGGGGUGAAAGCCCGUUGCUCAACAACGGAACUGCCCUGGAAACUGGUUAGCUUGAGUACAGACGAGGGUGGCGGAAUGGAUACUGUAGCGGUGAAAUGCAUAGAUAGUAUCCAGAACCCCCGAUUGCGAAGCAGCUGCCUAGACUGUAACUGACGCUGAGGCACGAAAAGCGUGGGGGAGCGAACAGG